GUGUCAGCCGCCGCGGUAAUACGUAGGUGGCAAGCGUUGUCCGGAUUUAUUGGGUUUAAAGGGUGCGUAGGCGGCCUAUUAAGUCAGUGCUGAAAUAUCCCGGCUUAACCGGGAGGGUGGCAUUGAUACUGAUGGGCUUGAGUAGAGUUGAGGUUGGCGGAAUUGACGGUGUAGCGGUGAAAUGCUUAGAUAUCGUCAAGAACACCUAUUGCGAAGGCAGCUAACUAAGCUCAAACUGACGCUGAGGCACGAAAGUGUGGGGAUCAAACAGGAUUAGAAACCCGCGUAGUCC
rnacentral:rRNA from 1 species